AGGGUUUGAUUAUGGCUCAGGACGAACGCUGGCGGCGUGCUUAACACAUGCAAGUCGAACGGUGAAGGGGCCUGCUUUUGUGGGUCCUGGAUGAGUGGCGAACGGGUGAGUAACACGUGAGUAACCUGCCCCCUUCUUCUGGAUAACCGCAUGAAAGUGUGGCUAAUACGGGAUAUUCUGUGCCUGCUGCAUGGUGGGUGUGGGAAAGAUUGCGCCUUUGGGUGUUUUUGGUGGGGGAUGGGCUCGCGGCCUAUCAGCUUGUUGGUGGGGUGAUGGCCUACCAAGGCGGUGACGGGUAGCCGGCCUGAGAGGGUGGACGGUCACACGGGGACUGAGACACGGCCCAG
rnacentral:rRNA from 1 species